UUAGUUGCCAUCAUUUAGUUGGGCACUCUAAGGUGACUGCCGGUGACAAACCGGAGGAAGGUGGGGAUGACGUCAAAUCAUCAUGCCCCUUAUGACCUGGGCUACACACGUGCUACAAUGGACGGUACAAAGAGCUGCAAGACCGCGAGGUGGAGCUAAUCUCAUAAAACCGUUCUCAGUUCGGAUUGUAGGCUGCAACUCGCCUACAUGAAGCUGGAAUCGCUAGUAAUCGCGGAUCAGCAUGCCGCGGUGAAUACGUUCCCGGGCCUUGUACACACCGCCCGUCACACCACGAGAGUUUGUAACACCCGAAGUCGGUGGGGUAACCUUUUUGGAGCCAGCCGCCUAAGGUGGGACAGAUGAUUGGGGUGAAGUCGUAACAAGGUAGCCGUAUCGGAAGGUGCGGCUGGAUCACCUCCUUU
rnacentral:rRNA from 1 species